AGUGAACGCUGGCGGUAGGCCUAACACAUGCAAGUCGAACGGCAGCACAGUAAGAGCUUGCUCUUACGGGUGGCGAGUGGCGGACGGGUGAGGUAUACAUCGGAAUCUACUUUUUCGUGGGGGAUAACGUAGGGAAACUUACGCUAAUACCGCAUACGACCUACGGGUGAAAGCAGGGGAUCUUCGGACCUUGCGCGAUUGAAUGAGCCGAUGUCGGAUUAGCUAGUUGGCGGGGUAAAGGCCCACCAAGGCGACGAUCCGUAGCUGGUCUGAGAGGAUGAUCAGCCACAUUGGAACUGAGACACGGUCCAGACUCCUACGGGAGGCAGCAGUGGGGAAUGUUGGACAAUGGGCGCAAGCCUGGUCCAGCCAUACCGCGUGGGUGAAGAAGGCCUUCGGGUUGUAAAGCCCUUUUGUUGGGAAAGAAAAGCAGCAGGUUAAUACCCCGCUGUUCUGACGGUACCCAAAGAAUAAGCACCGGCUAACUUCGUG
rnacentral:rRNA from 1 species